AUUGAACGCUGGCGGCAGGCCUAACACAUGCAAGUCGAGCGAAGCGGCGGACGGGUGAGUAAUUCCUAGGAAUCUGACUGGUAGUGGGGGAUAAAGUCCGGAAACGGGCGCUAAUCCCGCAUACUAUCAGAUGAGCCUAGGUCGGAUUAGCUAGUUGGUGGGGUAAAGGCCUACCCAGGAGAUGAUCCGUAACUGGUCGGAGAGGAUGAUCAGUAACACGGGAACUGAGACACGGUCCAGACUCCUACGGGAGGCAGCAGUGGGGAAUAUUGGACAAUGGUCGAAAGCCUGAUCCAGCCAUGACGCGUGUGUGAAGAAGGUCUUCGGAUUGUAAAGCACUUUAAGUUGGGAGGCGUUACCAACAGAAUAAGCACCGGCUAACUUCGUGCCAGCAGCCGCGGUAAUUC
rnacentral:rRNA from 1 species